AGAUCGGUGGUGUAGUGGGUAGCACAUCCCAUCCGAACGUGAAGGGGAGAGGUUCAAUCCCCUCCUGAUCCA
rnacentral:tRNA from 1 species